GAUGAACGCUGGCGGCGUGCCUAAUACAUGCAAGUCGAGCGAACGGACGAGAAGCUUGCUUCUCUGAUGUUAGCGGCGGGCGGGUGAGUAACACGUGGAUCACCUACCUAUAAGACUGGGAUAACUUCGGGAAACCGGAGCUAAUACCGGAUAAUAUUUUGAACCGCAUGGUUCAAAAGUGAAAGACGGUCUUGCGGUCACUUAUAGAUGGAUCCCGGCUGCAUUAGCUAGUUGGUAAGGUCACGGCCUACCAAGGCAACGAUGCGUAGCCGACCUGAGAGGGGGAUAGGCCGCCUUAGAGCGUGGACGGCGACCUGGCGACUGCGGUACGCAGCAGACGGGAACGUUACGCAGUGGGCGAGAAUAUGGCGGAAUAAGCGGAAGUCAGAUAUGGCAGCCCUCGGUUCGUAAAACCGUGUUAUGAGGGAAGAACAUAUGUGGACGUAAAUGUGGAGAGAGUGACGGUACCGAAUCAGAAAGCCACGGCUAACUACGUG
rnacentral:rRNA from 1 species